rnacentral:rRNA from 1 species
AUUGAACGCUGGCGGCAGGCCUAACACAUGCAAGUCGAGCGGAUGAAGGGAGCUUGCUCCUGGAUUCAGCGGCGGACGGGUGAGUAAUGCCUAGGAAUCUGCCUGGUAGUGGGGGAUAACGUCCGGAAACGGGCGCUAAUACCGCAUACGUCCUGAGGGAGAAAGUGGGGGAUCUUCGGACCUCACGCUAUCAGAUGAGCCUAGGUCGGAUUAGCUAGUUGGUGGGGUAAAGGCCUACCAAGGCGACGAUCCGUAACUGGUCUGAGAGGAUGAUCAGUCACACUGGAACUGAGACACGGUCCAGACUCCUACGGGAGGCAGCAGUGGGGAAUAUUGGACAAUGGGCGAAAGCCUGAUCCAGCCAUGCCGCGUGUGUGAAGAAGGUCUUCGGAUUGUAAAGCACUUUAAGUUGGGAGGAAGGGCAGUAAGUUAAUACCUUGCUGUUUUGACGUUACCAAAAGAAUAAGCACCGGCUAACUUCGU